AAAGUCCGUCAAUGGAACGGUCUACUGACUCCGAAGGAUCUCUACUGGAUGUGGAUGAAACUUUGGAAAGAAGUAAGGAGAUUCUAGGAUCACCAUUCUACGAAGAAAAACUGCGUCAGCUGUCAACUGGCCAAUUAAUUAACAGAGCUUCUCGGUGAAAUGGAAUCCUUGGUUGGAGCGCUCAGCGAAACUUUGAUAGCUGAUUCUGUGCCACACCUAGUGAUCCACUA